AUGUGUCCUAACGGCCUCCACAUCCGUGGUUGGCGUGUUUUGUUGAGGGGUUUCCUCAUUUCCCGGCAGCUUGUGGCGGUGUUCUCAAGUUACAGUCCUUUUAGGAUGCUCUCUUGUUCUCUUUCUCCCUCAGUCGCUCGUCCAACCCCUGCUCCUCAGCAUCUUUCCCCCACAUCGACCCAGCGCCCCUCGCUCUCCCCCGACAGGCUCUUUCCCACUCCCUCCCCUCCUCUGUCCCCAAGUGGCAGCCCCGCCUCCUACUCCCAUCAGCCAACCUGUAGCCGUCUACGAGCCACGUUUCAGGGUCGCCGUAGUUACUCAGAGGUGUCUGACCCGUCCGGCACCCACAGGCCCCCAGGGUGGCUGAUGAGGGAUCCAGUGUCCACCUUCCCGAAACCCAGGCCCCUCCUGGGGGAGAAGCAGGGUUACGGCCAAAUCAAAGCGCAGCUGCGCACCUCCUUGGUGGGCCUGAUCCGACCGGCCUCGGCUCAUGGGGCCGGAGGGGAGAGAGGAGGAGGAACGGGUGGUGGUGGGGAAGGGGACAGGGGUGGGGGUAGCAGUCUGAGCAGCAGUCCUCAUCACUGUGCCCUGGACCUGGACUUCCACCGGGCUUCUGAGGUACAUCACUUCCGUCGACUUGAGAACCCGCCUGAGCCCGCCCCCUUGGUGACGCCGCCGCAGUCCUCUGAUGAGGAAGAGGUGAUGGUGACGAUAACGAUGUGCUCGGCUCUUCUUGUGGCUUUUGAAGCUGGGUUUACUCACUUUGACGUCACUUUACAGGAUGUUUGUACAUAUCUGUCGCCGGCCGCGAGCCCGCCUCGGACGCUCGGCGCGAUUGGCUCGUCGUUACGUAGGGACCCGCCCCUGCACCACUCAUUCUCGUCUCCUGGGAAACAGCCCCACCAUCCCUCCUUCUCGUCCCCCCAGGGCCCUGCUACCCUCUCCUGCCAUCUGCCUCCCUACAUGACCUCUGAGCACGCUCAAUCAUGGCCGUCCAUCAACGUGAGUACAAAAAAGCUAAAAGAAUCACCUUGUUGGGAGACCACAUCGACAACGACUCGCUUUGUUUUCAGUUUUAGCGAUUAAAAGCUUCUGCCUGCUUGCUAGAGUGGCAACUGCUUUUAAAAGUUGAGCCCUAUAUAUUUAUGAAACAGUAUCACCUGGUGUUGUUACCUUAUAUUGAGUUACAUUAUUAUAGUCUUUACUACUUUUAAUGUUCUACUUUGUAGCUUUGUAUUGUGUGUUCUGUUCAGCCCUUAUAUUUUUGUGUUAUAUCUUUAAUUUUGUUCGUGACUAGACUUUUUACUCUGUCUCUAAAAAAGCAUGAGUUUUUAAACGGCUUCAUUGGAACAUUGCCAUAAAAAUUGGCUAACAAAACAGUUAAAUAAUGUUAAAUCAUCAUUUUUUUGAAAGCUUAGACCAGAUCUGAUGGACAUCAAAGCUU
ensembl:lncRNA